rnacentral:lncRNA from 1 species
CUGUGAGUACGUUUGAAUGUACUCGCAAACAUUCAGAACACAGGUAUAAUAUAAUAAGAGAUAAUCAUACUCCGAAACAUUAUUAUGAUGAUACGUCUGCCAUGAAUUUAACGAAAAUCUGCGAUGCACGUGUGCAGAGGAAAUAUGGACAUGCAAAACGGAGGUAACAGAAAUGCACUGAGCGAGUGUCUAGAAUGACUCCUCGAAAGGUUGCAAAUAAAAUAAUAAUGCCGCAGUCGGGCGUCUGAGCGACACCACAGAAAGGGCUUAUAAAAGAUAAAUAAACACCAAGUAUGCCGCAGUCGGGCGUCUGAGCGACACCACAUAAAGGGCUUAUAAAAGAUAAAUAAACAACGAGCAUGCCGCAGUCGGGCGUCUGAGCGACACCACAUAAAGGGCUCAUAAAAGAUAAAUAAACAACGAGCAUGCCGCAGUCGGGCGUCUGAGCGACACCACAUAAAGGGCUUAUAUUGAAAGAAUAAUCACAAUGAAUAUCCAGGAGGUAGAACCAUCCCAGGGAUACUCAAUAAAGUACAUAAUGUAAAUGGUUAGUCCAUAAUAACAAUAAUAAUAAAACAUGAUCCUCAGAUGUCACAGGUCGUAAACAAAAUCUAGUCUAGCCGUUUCUCCAUCCGUAGACCGUCACUGAGAUCCAGCUAAUUCGUCUCCAUCCGAAUACCGUUACUAUGAUCAAGUUAGCUGUGUCUCCAUCCGAAAACCGUCGCUGAGCUCUAGUCAAAUCGUUCUCCAUCCAAAUACCGUUACUAUGAUCCAUCUCAGACUGAAGUCCUUACUCAUGAACAUGGCUAUCCAAAAGGAUAUGACCUCUGCAGAGGGUGUACUCUAUACCCACGAGUAACGGGUUUACUUAGCCCAUCGGGACUAAUUCCGUCCACGGCCUUUUAAUUGAAAACACGCCUGACCUGCACACACCAGCUUAACUUACCAGUGUCUGGAAUCACCCACGACACCCGUCAAGCAAACUCUAAGUGGGGAGGCUACAACCUCGACGUAGCAUGGGAUCAAAUUUAUAUACGUGCGCUCUAAGGGGUGCCCCCCUCUCGGUCCCAACCGGAAACACCCAUGCCCCUGGACCAGGUGGCAUGCCUACCGGAUGCACACGGUAUCUUCCACCAUGGCCUCUCUGUAAGGUGUGUGCUUUGGUAAGGGGUUGACAACUUACUGAACCAUACCCCGUCUGCGACAGGGACAAGCGGUAGUACACUCAAAUAGUGAAGUUACUGAUCAAGACUUGACCUACGACUGACUCGGGUGGUCCAAGAAAUCUCCGAAUGAUCAGCAUAACCAACAAUGUUACCAUUAAGGGAAAUAAAUCACCACUCAUCAAGCCUCACCAUGCCAUACCGGACAUACUCGUCUUGACGAGGAACUAGGGACAAGCUCGUGUCUACCCAAGACCACGACUUUCCCGGCUUCCUUCCGGUAUGCAUGAGGAGCUCAUGAGGAUGAUCCAAAACACUAGCGUACCCAUUGCUGACCACAAAAUAUCUCCAAAAAGCACUCAUGCACGAGACUUUAUUGUUACAUAAAGAUAACGCAUACUCCAAGUCAAAUGGUGUUGUAAAUGUAUCAGAACACCACAACAAAAAUAUUAUGCCAGAGUUCAGAAAUGCUUGCCUUCAAGAGUAUGCAAAGGAUGCAUUUUUCGAAGGCUUUCCCUUCUCUCCAAAAUCCUAUUUUGAGAAAUAUCCAAAUAACAAACAUUACAAACACAGUACAAAAAGUUGUCUCAAAUAUUUUUAAAAUAAAUCUUAAAAUAAACUAGACGAAAUUUGAGAGAGGUAGGAAAAAGAAUCAACUCAUUUGGAGUUUUAUUUUAAAAGUUGUAGCUGGUCAAAGUCUGGUCAAAACUCUGUUUUUAAAUAAAACCAGAAAAGAAAACGUUUCGAGGGGAAUACGCUUUCGGGGUAGGGGAGACGUACUCUGUGGUUAUACGCUUUCACUUAAAACGAGGAGACGGCGCGCGGGUCACUGACAGUGGGUCCAGAGGGCCCACUGGUUAGGUUUGACCGUUCUUCCCUCCCUUCUCUCUCUCUCCGUCCGAACGGUGGCGGCCUCCGGCGAUCGCCGUCGACGAACGGCGGCUCUUCGAGGGCAUCUGAGGGCGGGGAUGGACCGGCCAGACCGAGGCGGUCCUCUUGGUGGUCGUUGGGUCGUCGGGGGUGGAAGAAAUCGCCAGCGGCGAGCUCCACGGCGGAGGGGGCUACGGUGGUGAAGUGGUUUUUGGGCUCCGGUGGUCUCCGGUCGAGGUUGAGUAGUUUGGUAGCUCCGCAAGGACAAGGGGAAGCUACUGGUGGCGUCAGUUGGGCGAGAGAGUGGCUGGCUGCGAUGUAUUUCACCAGAGCUUGGCGGCGGCCGAACCGGCCGGAGUUGGGGAAGAGAGCCUCUCCGGGCCAAUCCACUGCUAGGGGAGGACUAGGGGAACAGUCUGAGGUUGCCUGAACUCUUGCACGAGCUCGGGGGUCCCUUAAAUAGGUGCUCGGGGUUGGGCCGCGGCGGCUGAGGAUAAGAUCGCUGGCGACAGCCGUGCUGUAGCCGCAGGGCGACGUGGCGGCGGCGAGCGCGUGCCGACGAGCUUCGGGUUAAGACCGGGCUGUUCACGGGGGCAGCUGGCGCGCUGGGGUGGCUUGGGCGGUGCCGUCCAUGCCAGAGGUUCGCUGCUGACGCCGGCGUGCUGCCAAGAGCUCUACCAGCGGCGCUGCGGGGUGCCAGAGGUGGGCGAUCUAGUGCGCGGUUCAGCAGUGGAGCAGGGGCCAGGGACGGGUCGCGUCGAGUGUGGCAGUGCGGCGCGGCGGCUCAGUGCGCGCGCGUGCAAAACGUGCGCUCUGGGCGCGCCCAGAGCACGCACGGAACCUGCUCGACGAAAUGCCAGGGCGGUCUAGCGCGCGAGGGUGGAGCUGGCAAUAAACAGGACAGGGGUAGAGAUAGCUAGGAGCUCAGUGGACAUGGUUGCUGGGUCAGUGGAACAAGAUCGCAGUGCAAACAAAGAACUCAUGCCAAAACAGACUGUGCACACCAACAGUUCGACAGAAUGCCAAGUGCACUUAGGCAAUUCUUGGAGUGGCCAAAAUCUCCAGAUCAGGGUCUCUUUAGGUGUAGGAGAUGGUGUCAAGAUCAUAUGGGCAAAACCAGAAACUUGUUAGUGCAAGUUUUGCAAAACCACAGUUUUGGACAGAAAGAAAAAGGGUUUAUAGCAUGCACUUAAAAACCUCCAAUGAGUCCACUCUCCUAGACUUAAGGGUUUUGAAGGAAGGGUUAAAAGCAGGAAAAAGGUCAUGGGCAUUGGAGCAAAAUAAAAUAGAGUUGCUGUACAAAUCACCAAAUUGGGCCAGAAUGAAAAAGAGGGUGAUUCACUCAAAUUUUUCAAAGAACAUCACUGGGUUUUUGCAUGAAGAUGAAUUGUAUGCAUCCACUGACAUCUCCAAACACUUGAAAGAAUUUUUAAAGAAAUAUUUAAAUGGGUUGUAGUGCAAAAGUGCCCACUGGACCAGAUUGGAAAAGUUGGUGUAGAGCCCAAAAUCUCCAAUGGCCAACGGAUAUUUUUGCAUAAAAGUGAUGUGGAAGCAUCACAUGACAUCCCCAAAUUUUGGUGGAAAUUUUAAAAGCAUUUAUCAAAUGGUUACAGUGCAAAACAGGCUCCAACUUCAAAAGAAAUCAUUUUUAAAAGGAUAAAGCUCUGAGAAACAAUUAUGCAAAUAAAUCCCCUGAUAAAGGAUUGUUUUUUUUAUAAAGAGGGCAUAUAAGUCCAACAAUACCUUUUGAAAGUUUCCACUUGGAGUAAAAAUCCACAAUAACAAAAGGGUAAAUCUUGAAAAAAAUGGAAAAGUUUUAUUUCCUGGCAAAAUAAAAUCAAGGUCAACAUUUUGGGGUGUCACAACACUACCCCCCUUAAGAAAAAUCUCGUCCUCGAGAUUUGUUAAAAGUUGUUUUGAACAAAAACUGUUUUUUUAUCAAAAGAAAUCCUUCUACUGCACAAAAACAAAGCGGCUACAGUGAGAGGGCAAUAAGUGGUGUAAAACCACAGUGUAAUACACUGGCGUAGCGCGGGAAAAACUAUGGUUGGCGGAAAACGAGACAUUUCUACGCGGACACGGUAAUUUAGAAUAAAUUCUAAAUUACUAAAAUACGCUGGUCGUACCCGAGAGCACAGUGCUCUCUCUGGCUGACAGGUGGACCCAGGGCCCACUGUCGGCCUCUUCUUCUACCUCUGGUUCUCUCUUCUCUCUCGCGGGCUCUCCCGCGCUUCCUCCACCGGCGAUGCCUAGCUCGUAGGGCAUCGAAGCCGUACCAUGGUAGUGCGCGGCGUGCUAGCUGCCGGUGCUGCGUGCACUCACCUCGUGGGCCAGUGUGUUGUCGGCACUGCUCGCGGACUCGCCUCCGAACACCGGCGGUCGAGCGACGAGUGGCGCUGGUGGACCUCGCCCACCAUACACCGAUCUCGAGCUAUAAAACGACCGCGAUGCUCCUCUCUUCUUCCUCACAUUUUGCCUCGCUUCCACUUCUCCUUCUUUCUCCUCCAUUGUUGUCAGCAGGAGCUCGAGACGAGGCUCUAAUGGCGGAGGCGAUGCCGGACUGGUAUGUGGUCCUGGUGUGUGGAGGAUUGGCGGUGCUGCUGGGUUUCUCCGUGCUCCUGUGUGCGAUGAUCCUGGAUGAUCAUCAUGAUGCUGCCGCUCGAGUGUUAGCUCUUCACGGCGGCGGCGAUCACGUGGAUUAGGCGCGGCAUCGAGGGCUGACUGCUGUCGGAUGUGCUGGGGCAGCUUGCGCCCGAAUGAUCACUCACAAAUCUCUCUCACUGAGACUGUGGUGCCCUCGAGUGUGGUCAGUUAGGCGCAAAAAUGUGUACGAGGAUUGUAAUUAGUGCACGGGGUCGAGUGGUUGUAGCUGUGAGUCUGCUGUUACGGUGCUGCGCGAAUAAAAUCUAUGUCGCGAAAAUGGUAUACGCAGCAGUGACUCGGGGAAAGAAAUCUCACCAAAACAUGUUGUGAGGAAAAAAAAUUAAAACAAACUAACAGCAGUAAAACUGCUCACAAAACUGGAACUAAAGAGAAAUGGAUCCAUCGCACAGAAUUACAGUAUGUAAAUUAAAUACAGGGAUAAUAAAUACAGCAGAGAUGUUACAAGGAAAACGGCAAAAAGACGGGGUCCUGAGAAAACGCCUCUGGUACUGGGGCACAUUCCUCUUCUAUCGGGGGAAGCGGGUUGACUAGUCGAUGAAUGCGCCCUUCCUGGUCAGGCCUCAGUGGUCUGCCAAUAGCGAUCCGAGGAUUUAAAUCAGCGAGGCUCUGGAGAUAACCCAUUACUCGCUGAGUUAAAUGCUCCUGAGCAAUAACGUACUGGGCAAGGUUGGCCAGUACUGGAUCUCUCUCAAUUCGUCCCCCGGGAAAGGAUGCGACCUCUCCGGGUGCUGCCCGACUCAGAAAAUAAUAAUAUCCUCGCUCGCUGGCAUAGGGUACCGCCAAUCGAAGGCGAGUGAGCGCCUCGUACGCAGUAGCUUCUAUGGCCAUAUGCGGAGUCGGCAUGGACUUCCCCACGAAGGAGACUUCCGUUGGGUCUUGGUUUGGGUAUGCGGGAGGGAUGUGCACCACUGCCCAAUAUUUCGAGGUGGAAGGGGUGAUCCUCGAUUUGAGCAACUCGUACUGGGGUGGAUGGGUGGUACUCAUAGUACUGCAGGUGAAGUCCCACAAUAAUUUGACAAAACUACCUGGGGUUGCGUCUGGGGUUCUCAGAUAAAUACUGGGGGUCGGCAUGGCAAGGAAUGGUUGUGAGAGUUGCGCACAAAGGUGAGGGGUACUCGGCAAGGUCACGAAGUGGCCUUUAUAUAGCAUCGGGGCUGGGAUUAACCACUGGGGAAAAGGUGACUGGUUGCCGAUCCUGUACUUGGGUCAAAGCCAUAGAUAUACAUAUCACAUAAAUGUGACGUAUUACUGUGGGUGCCUUCGGGGUUGGUCUUGGUAGCUGCGCCUGAAAUCUAAAAAUGCAACUGUACGUUAACGUACAUAUGCAUAGCUACCACUCCAAAACAGGGGCGCUCAAGUAGACAGCAUUCAAUAAAAGCGACACAAGGCCACACCGCAUUACAAAACGUCGGAAAACUAGGGCUCGAUACUACUCGAGCGACUUAGUCUACUUCGUUAAUGUCUAAGUGGGCUGGCCUUGCGGACGCCGAUGCUUCUCCACGGGUCUCACCGUCGGGAUUUGCUGGCUGAGGUUGAGGGGCUGCAGGGUCGGGGUAGUGGUGAUGACCAUCGCGGGGGUUGUUGGCCACAAUCCCGUUGGAAUGGGUUCCCAAAAGGCGACGAAGCGCUUCUGGGGUCACCAAAGCACUCUGGUUGAUGGCUGGCGCAGACCUCAAGGGGUCGAUCGGGUGUCCGAAUAGCACGACUGGGUUGUCGACGUCGGGCUCCGCUUCUCUUCUCGCCGGGGCUCGGCGGACCAGUUCUCCACGAGCUGCGAUCAGAUCAAAAGUGACCUGAUCGAACAGUUGCUCUAGUGCGCUUACAUAGCGCACCAAAUGCAACAGUGCAGGAUCUGUCUCGUGAUCUCCGUUGGCAACCUGGGGCGGCCUACCAUACCCGUCACGACUGGGGUAGUAGUAGAAUGAGCGACAGUUAACUCUGGGCGACAAGUGUCGGAGUUGAACUAUAGCUUCUCGGGCUGCCAGUUGAAUGGCUUGUGGCUCAAAAGAAGUUGUCCUUCCGGUGAACCUGUAGGGGCGUUCUGGUGACAGACCCCUACCGUAGAUGUGCACAGUGGCCCAGUAUUGACGGCUCUCACCGUACAUGGGUCCCUGGUACACAACAUAUUCAGGAGGCUCCUCUAACGCAUAGGCACGGCGGGUGAGGUUUGCGAGCACGGUCACAAAACCUCCAAGGUUGGUUGAUGUGGUCUCAUUGUGAACAAUGGGGCCAGGCAUCGCGGUUUGGUUUGGGGAAAGAGGCUGUGCUGUGCUGUGUUGAGGCUAGCGUGCCCUUUUUAUAGGGAAAGGGGACGGAGUCUUCAUCCGCACUCUUGCGAUAGAGACGGGUUGUGUGUCGGUCACUGGCGCGUGAUCGACGGGCUAGGCUGAUAGGUUGGGCACCGUUCGCCGAAAGGCGUCGGGUCACUGUGGAGCUAUCUUACGCGGGAAGCUUGACCGGGGUUAGGCUAAGGUCUGGUGGUCUAGUUAACAUAGGUUUAUUGACCUGGCUAAGAUAGGGUUAGCCAAUGGUCAGCCUGGCUCUGAUACCAAGUCUGUCACGACCGGAUUUUCGGGAUAUCAAUUUCCUAGAAAACGGCCUUUGUGCUCACCAGCCCCAGGAUAACUGUUAGCUGAUGAGACACCAACUUGAUACAAGAAUUCCAAGCAAGGUACAAAAAUAUGUAGUACAAGAUCAUUGUGGCCUAGGAGUACAACAUUGGGUUUCUAGUGGUUGAUGGCGGAAGCGCCUUGAGGUACAUCUGCGUCUAUGGGACUCCAUUUCCCACAAGAACAGCUGACCAGGAUAACUCCUAUCUUCGCGAGGCUGCUAUCGUCAGAAUGCAGGUUCUGGGGCUGUCGUCGCGAUUCUUAUCUCCAGGCAAGAAAUCUGGCCAAGACAAUAGCCAGGGACAAGCCUGUGAGUACGUUUGAAUGUAAUCGCAAACAUUCAGAACACGGGUACAUUCAGAACACGGGUAUAAUAUAAUAAGAGAUAAUCAUACUCCGAAACAUUAUUAUGAUGAUACGUCUGCCAUGAAUUUAACGAAAAUCUGUGAUGCACGUGUGCAGAGGAAAGGACAUGCAAAACGGAGGUAACAGAAAUGCACUGAGCGAGUGUCUAGAAUGACUCCUCGAAAGGUUGCAAAUAAAAUAAUAAUGCCGCAGUCGGGCGUCUGAGCGACACCACAGAAAGGGCUUAUAAAAGAUAAAU